AUACGUAGGGGGCGAGCGUUGUCCGGAAUGAUUGGGCGUAAAGGGCGCGUAGGCGGCCGAGUAAGUCUGGAGUGAAAGUCCUGUUUUCCAGAUGGGAAUUGCUUUGGAUACUGUCGGGCUUGAGUGCAGGAGAGGUAAGUGGAAUUCCCAGUGUAGCGGUGAAAUGCGUAGAGAUUGGGAGGAACACCAGUGGCGAAGGCGACUUACUGGACUGUAACUGACGUUGAGGCGCGAAAGUGUGGGGAGCAAACAGGAUUAGAUACCCUGGUAGUCCACACUGUAAACGAUGAAUGCUAGGUGUAGGGGGUAUCGACCCCUUCUGUGCCGCAGUCAACACAAUAAGCAUUCCGCCUGGGGAGUACGGCCGCAAGGUUGAAACUCAAAUGAAUUGACGGGG
rnacentral:rRNA from 1 species